ACAAUAAAAGAUCCAUUUGUAUAUCUUCUUUGGACAAUAGUGCUGCUGUGAACAUGCAUGCACAAGUGUUUGUCUGAAUUCUUGUUUUCAAUUUUUGGAGGUUAUACCUAGGAGUAGAGUUGCUGGGUCACAUGGUAAUCCUAUGUUUCAUAUUUUGAGGAACUGCCAAACCGUUUUCCACAGUGGCUACACCAUUUCUAUGUCUCCACCAGCAAUGAAUGAGGGUUCUAAUUUCUGUACAUCCUCUCCAACAUGUGUUGUUUUCCAUUUUUGUAUUAUAGCCAACCCAGUGGGUGUGAAGUGGUAUCUCACUGUGGUUUUCACUUGUAUUUCCUUAAUGCCUAAUGACUUUGGGCAUCUUUUUGUGUGCUUGUCGCCAUUUGUGUAUGUUGUGUGGAGAAAUGUCUGUUCAAAUCCAUUGCCUGUUUUUAAAUUGGGUUGUUUUUUGUUGUUGAGCUAUAAGUAUUUUUUUUUAAUACUUUAAGUUCUAGGGUACAUGUGCACAACGUGCAGGUUUUUUACAUAUGUAUACAUGUGCCAUGUUGGUGUGCUGCACCCAUUAACUCGUCAUUUACAUUAGGUAUACCUCCUAAUGCUAUGCCUCCUCUCUCCCCCCACCCCACGACAGGCCCCAGUGUGUGAAGUUUCCCACCCUGUGUACAGGUGUUCUCAUUGUUCAAUUCCCACCUAUGAGUGAGAACAUGCAGUGUUUGGUUUUCUGUCCUUGCGAUAGUUUGCUCAGAUGAUGGUUUCUAGCUUCAUCGACGUCCCUACAAAGGACAUGAACUCAUCCUUUUUUAUGGCUGCAUAGUAUUCCAUGGUGUAUAUGUGCCACAUUUUCUUAAUCCAGUCUUCCAUUGAUAGACAGUUGGGUUGGUUCCAAGUCUUUGCUAUUGUGAAUAGUGCUGCAAUAAACAUAUGUGUGUGUGCAUGUGUCUUUAUAGCAGCAUGAUUUAUAAUCCUUUGAGUAUAUGCCCAGUAACGGGAUGGCUGGAUCAAAUGGUAUUUCUAGUUCUAGAUCCUUAAGGAAUCACCACACUGUCUUCCACAAUGGUUGAACUAGUUUACAAUCCCACCAACAGUAUAAAAGCUUUCCUAUUUCUCAACAUCCUCUCCAGUACCUGUUGUUUCCUGACUUUUUAAAGAUUGCCAUUCUAACUGGUGUGAGAUGGUAUCUCAUUGUGGUUUUGAUUUGCAUUUCUCUUGAUGGUCAGUGAUGAUGAGCACUUUUUCAUGUGUCUGUUGGCUGCAUAAAUGUCUUCUUUUGAGAAGUGUCUGUUCAUAUCUUUUGCCCACUUUUUGAUGGGGUUGUUUGAUUUUUUCUUGUAAAUUUGUUUAAGUUCUUUGUAGAUUCUGGAUGUUAGCCCUUUGUCAGAUGGGUAGAUUGUAAAAAUUUCCUCCCAUUCUGUAGGUUGUCUGUUCACUCUGAUGGUAGUUUCUUUUGAUGUGCAGAAGCUCUUUAGUUUAAUUAGAUCCCAUUUGUCAAUUUUGCCUUUUGUUGCCAUUGCUUUUGGUGUUUUAGACAUGAAGUCCUUGCCCAUGCCUAUGUCCUGAAUGGUAUUGCCUAGGUUUUCUUCUAGGGUUUUUAUGGUUUUAGGUCUAACAUUUAAGUCUUUAAUCCAUCUUGAAUUAAUUUUUGUAUAAGGUGUAAGGAAGGGAUCCAUUUUCAGCUUUCUACAUAUGGCUAGCCAGUUUUCCUAGCACCAUUUAUUAAGUAGGGAAUCCUUUCCCCAUUUCUUGUUUUUGUCAGGUUUGUCAAAGAUCAGAUGGUAGUAGAUGUGUGAUAUUAUUUCUGAGGGCUCUAUUCUGUUCCACUGGUCUAUAUCUCUGUUUUGGUACCAGUACCAUGCUGUUUUGUUUACUGUAGCCUUGUAGUAUAGUUUGAAGUCAGGUAGUGUGAUGCCUCCAGCCUUGUUCUUUUGGCUUAGGAUUGUCUUGGCAAUGCAGGCUCUUUUUUGGUUCCAUAUGAAUUUUAAAGUAGUUUUUUCAAGUUCUGUGAAGAAAGUCAUUGUUAGUUUGAUGGGGAUGGCAUUGAAUCUAUAAAUUACCUUGGGCAGUAUGGCCUAUGGCCAUUUUCACAAUAUUGAUUCUUCCUAUCCAAGAGCAUGGAAUAUUCUUCCAUUUGUUUGUGUCCUCUUUUAUUUCGUUGAGCAGUGGUUUGUAGUUCUCCUUGAAGAGGUCCUUCACAUCCCUUGUAAGUUGGAUUCCUAGGUAUUUUAUUCUCUUUGAAGCAAUUGUGAAUGGGAGUUCACUCAUGAUUUGGCUGUCUGUUAUUGGUGUAUAGGAAUGCUUGUGAUUUUUGCACAUUGAUUUUGUAUCCUAAGACUUUGCUGAAGUUGCUUAUCAGCCUAAGGAUAUUUUGGGCUGAGAUGAUAGGGUUUUCUAAAUAUACAAUCAUGUCAUCUGCAAACAGGGACAAUUUGACUUCCUCUUUUCCUAAUUGAAUGUGCUUUAUUUCUCUCUCUUGCCUGAUUGCCCUGGCCAGAACGUCCAACACUAUGUUGAAUAGGAGUGGUGAGAGAGGGCAUCCUUGUUGUGUGCCAGUUUUCAAAGGGAAUGCUUUCAGUUUUUGCCCAUUCAGUAUGAUAUUCGCUGUGGGUUUGUCAUAAAUAGCUCUUAUUAUUUUGAGAUACGUCCCAUCAAUACCUAAUUUAUUGAGAGUUUUUAGCAUGAAGGGCUGUUGAAUCUUGUCGAAGGCCUUUUCUGCAUCUAUUGAGAUAAUCAUGUGGUUUUUGUCUUUGGUUGUAUUUAUAUAUUCUAGUUACCAAGUCCUUAUCAGAUAUAUGAUUUGCAUAUAUUUUCCUCCAUUAUGUAGGUCGUCUUUUCACCUUCUUUUUUUUCACUUUCUUAGUAAUGUCCUUUGCUGCACAAAAGUUUUUCAUUUUGAUAAAAUAUAAUUUAUCUACUUUUUAUUAUUUUGCUCAUGCUCUUGUUGUUAAAAACAUUUUGAUGAGUGGAAGAAACCAAGCACAAAAGAGUACUAUCUGAUUCCAUUUAUAUGAAAUCCUAGGAAAGACUAAUCUAAACAGGUCUGUGAGUUGGCAUGGAGGUUUGCACCUGUAGACCUGGUUACUGGGAAGGCUGAGGACAGAAAGAUUGCUUGAACCCAGGAAUUCAAGGCCAUCUUGGGCAGCAUAGCAAAUAGUGAGACAUUGUCUCUUUUUUUUUUAAUUUUUUUUUUUUUGAGACGGAGUCUCUCUCUGUCGCCCAGGCUGGAGUACAGUGGCGCGAUCUCAGCUCACUGCAAGCUCCGCUUCCCGGGUUCACACCAUUCUCCUGCCUCAGCCUCCCAAGUAGCUGGGACUAUAGGCGCCCACCACCACGCCUGGCUAAUUUUUUUGUAUUUUUAGUAGAGACGGGGUUUCACCGUGUUAGCCAGGAUGGUCUCGAUUUCCUGACCUCAUGAUCCACCCGCCUUGGCCUCCCAAAGUGCUGGGAUUACAGGCGUGAGCCACUGCGCCCGGCCAAGACCUUGUCUCUUAAACAAAACAAAACAAAAUCCUCUUCUAAACAGGUCUGUGGUUGCCUGAAUUGACUGGGAAAGGGUACCAGGGAACUUGUUAGCAUAAUAGAAAUGUUCCAUAUCAUGGUUAUGGUAGUGGUUACAUGGGUGUAUGCAGUUGUCAAAACUUAUUGAACCCUGCACUUAAAAUGGGUAUUUUUUAUCUUAUGUAUGUUAUACCUCAAUAAAGCUGAUGUUUUUAAAAAGAAUAUGUACAACCUAUCCAAUCUACUGUUAAUUGACAUUGAAUUUUUUUCAGUGUUUAGCUACUUCAAACAAUGCAGCUAUGAGUGUUCUCGUAUGUGUACUUUUGUACACAUUUGUACUCAUUUCUAGAGGGUAUGUAUAUCUAGGCAUUGCUGGGUCAUGGGUAUGCAUAUGAUUACAUUUAGUAGAUGCUGCUAAACAGUUUUCUGAGGGGACUGUACCCAUUUACACACUCAGCAACAGUGUAUGAGAGUUCCGCUUGCUCUGUAUCCUCACUGACACUUGCUGUUGUCAGUCUUUGUAAUUUUAAUCAUUCUAGUGGAUGUAUAGUGGUGUGGACUAUGGCUUUAAUUUGGAUUUCCUGAAGACUAAUGAGGUUGAUUACCUUUUAUUUGGAUUUUACCUGUCAGUUCUUUUUUUAUUAUUAACUUGUAGGCAUUCUUUAAAUAUUGUGGAUGAGGACUUUGUUAGUGAUAUACGAUUAGCAGGUAAUUCAACCUGUGACUUGCCUUUCAGUUUCUUAUUAGUAAUUUCUAUAAAGGGAAGUUUCUAAUUUUAAUGUCCUCUGAAUGAUCAGUCUUUCCUUUUGUGGUUAAUAGUUUAUGAGUUCUAGGUAAGAAUUUUUUUUCUACUCCAUGGUCAUGCAGAUAUCCUCCUGUGUCAUCUUCAAGAUGCGUUAUUCACAAUUAAGCCUAAAGUCCACCUGAAAUUGAUUAUUUUUGCAUAUGAUAUGAGGUCAAGAUGAACUUUUUUCCUAUGUAGAUAUUUAUUUGGCCCCACACUAUUUUGUGGAAAGUCCAUACUUUCUCUAGAGCUCUGUAAUACCACCUUGAUCAUAAAUUGUAUGUGUGUAGAUCUGUUUCUAGACUUGCUUCUGUUCCAGGGAUUGACCCAUGGCUCAUUUUUGUACAGCCUCCAAGCUAAGAAUAGAUCUGUAUUUUUAUAGGGUUGUUAAAAAAAGAAGAAUAUGCGACGGAGAUUGCAUGUGUCCCAGAAAGCCUAAAAUAUUUACUGUCUGGCUCUUUACAGAAAAAGUUUGCCAACCUUUGUUCUAUUCCAUUGAUCACUUUCUUUGCACCAAAACAACACUAUUUUAAUUAAUGUGGCUUUAUAAUAAGUGCUGCUAUUGGGUAGAAUAAGUCUUCUUAGAAUCAAAUUUUCAGUUUCUAUACCCACAUGAAAAAAUUCUGUUGGAAUUUUGAUUGGUUUUAUAAUGUUUAUAAUACUGGAAUAUUUGAAAUAUGGAAUCUUUUGAUCUAUGAAUCUGGUGUAUCUCAUGAAUGAGUGUUAAAAUAGUCUGCAUCUUUUGGGAUAAUCCUUGGAUUUUUCUUCCUUAAUCACUUAAUGUAGUAGAUCAUGUUGAUAAAGUUUUCAAAUAUGAAACCAGCCCUGCAUUACUGGACUAAACCAAACUUGUCCACAAUGUGUGAUGCUUUUUAUAUAUCACCAGAUUUGGUUUUCUGUUUUAUUUAGAAUUUUUGCAUCUCUGCUCAAGGAUUGCCUUCACCUAAAGUCAGGCCUUGAUCUGAUAAUUGGUGUUGAGUAGCAGACAUCAAGAUGGAAGCAGAAACUAAACCAGGAUGAGAUAUGCAGAAGGCUUAUUGGGGGCAAUGCUUGUAAAGGAUAAAGAAGAAAGCAAGAGAGGACAGGGGAAAACCUGAGACCAUGAGACAGGCCUGACCCCUGUGAAAGAAGAGAGGAAAGGAAAGAAUUGGUAGGAAGGGCCCCAGCCUGCAGCACAGAUCUAAGAACGCCUCUGCUAGGCCAGUGAAGAGUCCCCAGGCAAACACUUGUCUUUUAGAAGAAUCCUGCUUUGGGCAGGAAUGGGGAAAUGUGGCCUCUGUGUGAACAUGGUGAUGGAUCCAAAGGGCGGCAGCUGGGGCUGUCAGUCAGUCUUCCCCGCGGCAAGUUCUUCAGAAGGAGGUGUGCAGAGGAACAGCCCACCUCCAUGCUUGACAUGGUUGGCCUUUUUCUUUUCAUCCCUGCUCACAGGUUGUAUUCUUUUGGGGACCCCAAGUGAAAACAUGGUGUUUUCUAGAGCUCUUUUCCUUGGCUGGCCCUGAAGUUCCUUUUUUUUUUUUGUCUCCUCAGCCUUUUGAGAUUGAUGGAAGCUCUGUGCAGCUGGUCAGUCUCUCAGCCAUUACUUUGGAAACAGGAAACGCCUCAAGGUGAACAGUUGUGCAAAGCACUGGACUCACCUCUCUGGAUUUCCAUCUAUUUGGAAGCUUGUUCCAUUAAGCCAUCUCUGCCUUGGUAGCUUUCUGGUGCCUUCACACAAAUGUGGUUAUACAUCGUCUAGCUUUUCUGGCUGUUAUUCAUGGGUGGAAGAGUUGAUUCUGUAACCAGCUAGUUCACUUGGACAGGUGGGAAAAUAUGGGAAAGGAGGUCUCCAGGGUUGUCUUCUGACUAACUAGGACAUGAUUAAAACACUUGGGAGCCUCAGAUAUAAAGGGGCUGUGAUGGUAAGAAUAUAUAUACAUUUUGACCUAUGAUGAUUUUUUUUUUUUUUUUUUGAGACAGAGUUUUGCUCUUAUUGCUCAGGCUGGAGUGCGAUGGCGCCAUCUCGGCUCACUGCAGCCUCUGCCUCUGGGUUCAAGCAAUUCUCCUGCCUCAGCCUCCCGAGUAGCUGGGAUUACAGGCACCUACCACCACGCCUGGCUAAUUUUUGUAUUUUUAGUAGAGAUAGGGUUUCACCGUGUUGGCCACGCUGUCUUGAACUCCUGAUCUCAAGGUGAUCCACCCACCUCGGCCUCCCAAAGUGCUGGGAUUACAGGCGUGAGCACUGCACCCGGCUGACCUAUGAUAUGUAUUUUUAAAAAGAAGAUGGAGAAAACUUGGAACUUUGCUUGAAAGAGAAUUGCUUAGGGAAAAAGUGAUAGCUGCUUUCAGAUGUUUGAAGGGAUAUUUUGUAUAAGAUGAAGUAGAUUGGUGUUUCACAAUUUUCGAAAGCUAUAGACCUUUUCUCUAAUUCUCUACUGGAAAAUUCUACUCAUAUUUUGGAGACAAUCUGAGUGAUUGUUCAUGCUAUGUGGUAAACAAGUAGGGAAUUUCUUCCUCCUGAUGUACCUGUUCGAGGGAGGUGGUGGCAGCAGCACGAACCUAAUGAAGACAAAUAGAGAAAUGAGAGGCAAAGACUGAGCAUUAGAAUAUGCAGGCUAGGCACGGUGGCUCACGCCUGUAAUCCCAGCACUAUGGGAGGCCGGGGUGGGUGGAUCACCUGAGGUCAGGAGUUGAGACCAGUCUGGCCAACACAGUGAAACCCUCGUCUCUACUAAAAAUAGAAAAAUUAGCCGGGUGUGGUGGCACAUGCCUGUAAAUCCCAUCUACUUGGAAGGCUGAGGCAGGAGAAUCACUUGAACCCAAGAGGCAGAGGUUGCAGUGAGCCAAGAUCAUGUCACUGCACUCCAGCCUGGGGAACAGAGUGAGACUGUCUGGGGAAAAAAGAAAAAAGAAUAUACAAAGUAAACUUUUCUUACAUACUUUGACUUUUCAGUAUUUUUAUGGAAAAUAAUUUUUUUAUGUAUUACUUUCAGAGCACAGAUCAUUAAGGAUAGAAAUUGUCUUUUAUUGCUGAGUUUUCAGUGCCUAGUAAGUACCUGGUACAUAUAGUAGGAGCUCAGAUGUUUGCUGAGUAAAUGUGUUGAAUAAAGGGAGGUGCACUGGGGUAUUUCUAAUGAUGACCACCAUCUUGAAUUGGCACAAGCUUCUAAAAUGACUGCUCUCAAAGCUGCAAAAUUUACUAUGUUAGUAUCUAACCUCUGCUGUUGAAGAAGAAAAGCAGAUUUCUGACUGCCCUCCUACUUUUCUUUUGUCUUUUCCCAUCAACCUCUCUAACACUCUUUUGAUUUAGAAAUCAGUUUCCCAUAGCUGCUAUGUGUAUAAGCUAGAACAGUAAUAACAAAAACAUGGUAAUCCUGGAUUUACAUAACAACUUGAACUUCCUCUUUGUAAAAUAAACUGGUAAAGUAAGGUGGUCAAGUUAGAUGAAAGGUUAAAAAAAAUAUUUUACUUCAAGUCCCAGGAAACCUUGUUUAUAGUGAUCUAAAAUGCAAGGAAUUCAACUGGAUUCAAGUAGCAUUGUCAGAAAUUCCAUUUCUAGGAGUAGAUUUUAAGAGUUUGAAAAACAGUGCAUGAAGUUAAUUUGGCAGCCAAGAAAAUAAAUGAAAUUUAAAAAAUCUCUUCAAGGGUUCUAAAACACUUAACAUGAAAUUUAGGAUUGCAGAGAACUAAUUGGAGACACUGAACAGAUAGGACGAUACAGGUGAAAAAGAAGAAAAGUGCAUGGCGGAGUAUUAAUGUUCUGCAGAAUAUUAAUUUCUCCUCUGGAAAGAACUUCUUUAUAGAAAUGUUACUCUAGAGGUAACUCUGUAAUUAGGUAAUUUUGAGCUUUUUUUUCUAAAUUAAUUUUUAAAUUUAUAAUUGACAGUUAUACAUAUUUAUGAGAUAACAGUGUGAUAUUUUAAUGCAUAUAUACAUUGUAUAAUGAUCAAAUCAUUGUAUAAUGGUUUCUUUUUAUUAUUAAAAUUUUUUUAGAGACAAGUUCUCACUAUGUUGCUCAGGCUGAUCUUGAACUCCUGAGCUCAAGUGAUCCUCCCACCUUGGCCUCCCAAAGUGCUAGGAUUACAAGUCCAAGCUACCAUGCUGAGCCAUUUUUUUCCCCCUUAAAUACAGGGUCUCAUUCUGUCUCCCAGGCUGGAGUGCAGUGGCACAAUCUCAGCUCACUGCAGCCUCCACCUCAGCCUCUGGAAUAGCUGGGACCACAGGCUUGCACCACCGUGCUUGACUGAUUUUUGUAUUUUUUGUAGCGACAAGGUUUUGCCAUGUUGCCUAGGCUGGUCUUGAACUAGGCUCCUGGCUCUGCCUCCCAAAGUGCUAGGAUUACAGGUAUGAGCCACCACACCUGGCCAAGUUGAUUUCAUAGAAGUUGAGCUGUGUUUUUUUUUCAGCUGCUCCAUAACUUAAGACCUUAAUCAUAGACACCCCCUAGUUGAGUAGUCCCAUUUUCCUUCCUGAUUGCUCUCCAGCUAGUUAGCCUACAUUGAAAGUACGUGAUUCAUAAAUCCAUGUAGUAAAGAUUUAAUUAUAAUAGUUACAGUCCCUGUUUUUGAUGUUUAACAGAUAAUUUUUCAUCUUUGCUAUAAAAACAGAAUAGAAAUAUUUACAUGUAAAUGCCAAACACAUUAAAUCAGAAAUAUAAUUUUUGUUUAUUUGUUCCUUUAGCAAACAUCUGUUGAGUCAGUCCUGUGAGCCACUCACUAAACUAAUUACUGGGAAGGAAGUGAUGUGGCCUCUAACCUCACUUCCUUCAGAUAGCUGUGCACAUGUCACCUGUUAGAGAGGCCUUCCCUGACCACUUCAGAAAAACAGCCCUGCCUUUCCUUCUUCCUUUCCUUCUCACUCUGCUUAUUGUUCUCCAUUGCAGUUGUCACCAUUUCUCAUAUUACUUAUUUCUUCCUGAGCAUUUUUCUCUCUCAGUUGGAAUGUAGAGCAGAAACUUUAUUUUCUUACUUUAUCUCUUAAAGCCCAGAACAGUUCCUGGCACGUAUACAUCUAAUGAAUAUAUGUAGAAUACAGGCUCUGAUUCCUUGUGCCAUGAUCCUACAACAACUUCAUAUACCUUUAUUUUUGUACUUAGGUAAUUAUUUUAUACUUAUAUCCUCCACCAAACUAGAAACUCCUUUUUUUUUUUUUUUUUUUUUCUGAGACAGAGCCUCACUCUAUUGCUCAGUCUGGAGUAUAGCAGCACAAUCUUGGCUCACUGGAUCCUAUGCUUUCUGGGUUCAAGCGAUUAUCCUGCCUUAGCCUCCCUAGUAGCUGGGACUACAGGCACUCAUCACCACACCCUGCUAAUUUUUGUAUUUUUUUUAGUAGAGAUGGGGUUUCACCAUGUUGGCCAGGCUGGUCUCGAUCUCCUGACUGCAGGUGAUCAACCCAUCUCAGCCUCCCAAAAUGCUGGGAUUACAGAUAUGAGCCACCACAACUGGCCGGAACUUUUUGAAGUCAGUUUUAACCACCAGGUGAGGGGAUCUCAGAUGGGGUGUCCAUUGGGUUGUUAACAGAUGAAUAGGAGUUUAUCAGGAGGAAGGAAAAAUGGCAUUCCAGAACAGAUUUUAGAGACAUUUAGAAGUUACAUUUGCCCAGAUUUGGUGGAAAGAUUUUAGGAUGGAGUGUGUGUUUCCAGUUAAAGAUGCCUUUUGGAGCAUUAUGCUUUUCUGACUUGAGUGACUGGAUAGAUGGAGGUGUCAUUAAAUGAAGGAGUGAAGGAUAUUGAAGUGAAAUAUAUCUCUCCUUCCUCUGGAGAAAUGAGUUUAGUUUGGGAUAAGUUGCAUUUCUGAUGCCUGUAGAGAGUUCAGUAUCUAGCUGAAAAUUUGUUUCUAGAGUUCUCAAGAAAGAGGUUAGGGGUUGAAAAUAGAUUUGACAGUCAUUUUAUAUGUUAUAAUUAAGUCUUAAGCAUAAGUGAAACCAUACACAGAGGAUAAAGACAUGUAGAAUAAAGACAGGACUCUAAGAGAUGGUCCGAGAAAGAAGAAUCUGGAAAUUUGAGAGUAAGUAGUGGAAAGGUCUGAGGACAACCAGGAGGAGUUGGUAAUUUGCUUAUUAGGAGGUGAUAAUUUUAAGUGGGGCAAGGGGAGUGGAAAAUUUGUCCUUUGUCAUAGAGAAUUCAUUAGGAUUUGGACUAAAGAGAUACAGUUGGACUAGACCUGACAAAUGGCAGUUUGGUAAAGUUACUGAGAACAGUUUCAGUGCAGUGGACGGAAGGGAGGAGGAGGACAGAUAGAAGUGGGUUGGAACAUAAAAAUUAGAGCAGCAAACCGUGACAAGGUCAGGGUGGGGUAGUUGGCAGUUUUGCCCCCCAGGAGGUAUUUGUUAAUUUCUGAGAAACCCUGAAUUAGAGGUAACUGAAGGUAAGUGAUACAUACACUACAUUUGUAAGUAGUUUGAAAAACAAAGGGAUAGAGAGGGUAGCUAUGUGGAAAGGUGGAGAGAACUUUUGUUGUUUGGGAAGCGUUUAUAUAUCCAUGAGAUUUGGAGAGAAGACUAGGGAUUUUCUCACAUGAAGUUUUACAUGUGAGAAGAGAUAAUUAUGGUGGCAAGGUCCUGAGGAGGACUGAUGACUAAAUCCCCACCUGAAAUAGGACGAAGAAAAUGAGGACAGGCAAAGAAAAAAAAGUUGAGGAUAUAGCAAUUGAGUGAACUGGGAGACAAGGUUAUUGAACUAGUGUGAGGAAAUCAGCAUGGAACAGCAAGUUAAAGAGGGUUAUGAUGGCCGGGUGUGGUGACUCAUGCCUGUCAUCCCAGCACUUUGGGUGGGAGGCCGAGGCAGGAGGAUCGCUUGAAGUCAGUUCGAGAUCAACCUGGGCAAUGUAGCAAGACCUUGUCUCUAUAAAAAUAAAUAAAUAAAAAAGAAGGUUACUAGAAGUUUGAAACAGCAACCUUGAGGGGACAGGAAUUAAAAUGCAAGCAAGAGACUUUUCUGAGUAGUGUCAAGAACUUAGCUGAACUGGGAAAUUGUAAAUCAAUGCUUGUUAUGCAGUUUUAUUCAGCUGUAGUAGCAGGCCAAGAACAAGAACAGAGCAGGUGUAUUUUGGAAUUCUCCGUAGUUAGAGAUUGGCAAAUCGAAUGCUUUGAAAGGUUAAGGGGAAAGGAGGUUGAGGGAACUGGUCAAUUUUGUUGAAAUACUGAUCCACGGGUAAUCUUAGUAAGAAAGAAAGUAACUUCUGUUCCAAUUUUAGUAUAUGUGUUGCCGAAGUGAGCAUGAAAGUAAUUUCUGGAGGGAGACUGAUAGUUUAGAAGAAUGGAGAAGGCUGAAGGGAAUGGAAGGUUUUGAUAAAGUCAAGCAAGUUUAAUUGGUUAAAGGAUUGAGAGGUGAUAAAGUCAGAUAGAAAGAUAGUUGGUUAGAGCACCAUAACAAAUUUUUCUGAGUUUGCAGAUAAAUUAAAUUCUAGCAUAACAGAAAUAAUAGGGCUAUGAAUCUAGAUAUGAUAAUAUUGUGUGUGAAAUGUUACGUGUGAAAUGUACAAUGCUACAUGAACUUUAAAUACUUUAGAAGGCAGAUGCCAGGAUUCUUUGUUCAUUGUAGGAUAAUCAAUGCCUGGCACAUUUGUAAGAGCUCGGUAAAUAUUUGUUGAAUGAAUAACACCCAUCCACAGUCUUUCUUGCCUAGAUAGUUCAUAAUGCCAGAAAAUUUUGAUUCAUGUCUGACACCUAGUGGUACUGUACUUAAACUGCUGUUGAGUGGCAGCAUUUUCCUUAUACUAUUUGAGGGAAAUAGUAUAGAUUAGUCGUAGCACUAUUGCUUUGCCCCUGAAACAACUCUCCAAGUUGGUUCUGGGAAUUUUUACUAUUGGCAUUUUCCAGGGCUCCAAUUUUAAUUAGCAAACAUUUAUCGAGCAUCUACUAUGUGCCAGGCACUGUUCUGUGUGCUGGAGAUUUUCAUGUACUAUAUAUUCUCGUGUAUAUAUGAACUCACUGAACUUGAAUACAUAGGUAGAGCAGUUGCACUGGGCUACUUGUUAAGGCAUUUAAUUUAGGACUCUCUUAUGAUUUUUACAUGUGAAACCUUUCUAAAUUUAUUUCAUAGCCUUUGGGGCUAUCAUUUCUGUCAUGACAUACUGCUUUUUAUUAAUGUUAAGUAGGUAUUUAGGAAGAUGAAAAUAGAGUGGGUUUGUUUGUCAGCUUGCAGUACCAAUCACAUAGUGCAGAAUGCUACAUACUGUGAAGAACUGUUGAAGGAUUUUGUUUCUUGCUUUUAAGAAAAUGUACAGUUCUUAUCUGUUAGUGGUGUGUAUGGAUAUAUUUAAACUACCUAUGAAUGACAUGAUAUCUGGGGUUUGCAUUAAAAUGUUUUAAAGUGGGUGGGUUUCAAUGAAGCAAGACAAGAUUGAAAAUGUUUUUAUAAUUAUUUAAGCUGCAUUCAUGGGCUUUAUUGUCCUCUCUACUUUUGUGUAUGCUGGACAUUUCCACGGUAAAACUUUUUUUUUUUUUUUUUUCCCGAGAUGGAGUCUUGCUCUGUCACCCAGGCUGGAGUGCAGUGGCGCAGUCUAGGCUCACUGCAACUUCCGCCUCCCGUGUUUAAGCAGUUAUCUGCCUCAGCCUCCCAAGUAGCUGGGAUUACAGGCAUGUGCCACAGUGCCCGGCUAAUUUUUUGUGUGUUUUUAGUAGAGACAGGGUUUCACCAUCUUAGCCAGGCUGGUCUUGAACUCCUGACCUCGUGAUCCACCCGCCUCUGCCUCCCAAAGUGCUGGGAUUACAGGCGCGAGCCACCGUGCCCGGCCAGUAAAACCUUUUAAAAACUAGAAAGGUGUGGGUUGAAAGAAAGGUUAGCAUGAUUCAGUUAGAACAUGGUUUGCUUUUUUAUAUUAAACAAACUUUCUUAUUUCAUUUUGUUCUAUUUGUUACUACUUGAAGAUCCGGUUGAGUAGAAAGAUAGUAUGUUUUUACUAAUAAUAGAUAUAAUGUGAUUGAGACCUGACAGGUGACAUUCUACUGACAGUAUCCAGAGAUUAUUGGAAUUUGGGUUUGGGAGCUCAUGGUAAUUGCUGGAUCUGCAGAUUGGAGACUUGGAGAUAUAAUUUUAAAGUGCUAGCUAUCACCUGCAAGUGAGAGCAUUUUGAGUGAGAAUUUGGGGAACACCUAAAUUUAAUAAGUUGGCACAUCUUUCUUAGUGCUUCUCUCCUUACCAAAAAACAAACAAACAAACAAAGGACUAAUAAUCUGCCAUAGCAGUCUUCUUAAAUUGGAUUCUGCUUAAUGACUUAUAUAGGAUAUAUUUAUCAUAUGAUACAUAUGGAUUUUUAAUGUUGGACAUUGUGUCUCUGUUAGACUCUUAAGAUACCAGUAAACCAUAUCCCCAAAAUAAAAGUUAGAAGCCUGUUGUCAACAAUAAGAAAUACUAGUUAUGAAAUAUUUUAGGCAAACAAAAAUGUUACUUGUAAAUGCUUGCCACCCAUCUUUGUCAUCUUAACAUUUCGGCUUCACCUCCACCCCCUCAUAACCUUUCUUUUUCCUUCUCUCUUUCUCUCUCCUGAAGACAUAAAUGACUGCAAAUAUAAUAAGGCCCUUUUAUGCCACUCUUUUCCUAUUCCCUUCCUCCAGAGGUAAUUACUAGCCUGAAUUUGGUGUAUAUUACUCCUUAUUUUUGUUUUUUUUCCUUAAUAGAUCCACAUUCCUAUUGCUCAAUAAAUUCUUCUACAUGCUGUUUUUUUUCUGUGGCAGUCUAUUUUCCAUCAAAGAGAAAUAAAGAUCCGUUUUCAUCACUCAGACAUAACUUUGCUAUGUAUUUCAGUCUGUGUUGGGGUUUCAGUUAUUUUUUAUCUGAAAAAUAGAUAUUAAUUUCAAUAUGCUAUUUAUUUCCCUUAAAUAACUGAUGCUUGGUGCCUUCAUAUUCCAUUAUGUGAUAAACCUCUUUAGCUUUCCACCUUUCUGGAGGGUAUACUUCUUGUGAGGCUUAUCUGACUUUCAGAUUGGAGCACAGUCUCAUUUCAACAGCCUUUUGUUGUAUAAAGAUAGAGAUUUUUCUUUGGCAACAAAGAAACCAAUGGAAAAAAUACCAUUUUUAAAUAAGUCUCAUAAAAGCAGAGAUUUGGUUUAAUUAAAAAAAUUCUCCAAUAGCAAGUUUGGGAACUCUGAGAGAGAAGAAACAAAAGCUCAAUCUCAGUUAUAACCAUUAUUUUGUUUCUUUCUUUUAUAUAUAUAUAUAUUUUUUUAAGCCUAUAGCACCUGAUAUUCCCAGGCAGUCUCCCAUCCAAGUAUUAACCAGCCCCAGUCCUGCUAAACUUCUGACAUCAGACAAGAUUGGGCACAUUUAAGGUGGUAUGGCCAUAGACAAGAGCCAUUGUUUUCUAUUGCUUUGCUCUUGAUUAAAAUAUGGGAUAGUUUUUCCUUGUAUAAACUAUAUAUUUUUCCAGUCUGUUAAGAAAUAUGUUUCUCCUGUCCUCAGAACUGUAGGAUUUUCUUACUAUCAUGAUCUGUUUCUCUGUGAUCUUCAUUACAGAGACCUUUUUGUAACUGUCAUAGUUCAAAUUUUGUUGCUUCUUAAAAGUAAUCUAUUAGCUUUAGUCUGGUUUUUUUUGUUUUGUAUACUUAAUAUUUAAAAAUUUCAAAUAAUAUUUAAAAAUUUCAAAUAAUUUAGAUGUUGCAAAUGAUUUUGUCUUAGGCUUUCUCCAAAGAAGGAGGUCACUAGAGAUUUAACUCGUCCUUUUUGACUGACAAAGCCCCCAGGCCUAUAGAUGUAGCACUUUGGUUUUAGACGCAAUCUCUUUGAAGACAGGUGUAUAGUUUGUGUCAGAGUUAUUGGAAAUUUUUUUAGUAUAAUCUCUUUUUACCUUUUUACUUUCUUUUCUUUCAUGUUUCUCGUCCUAUCCCCUCCCCCGGCAGUAUUCCUUGACUUCCCUGUAAUAUGACAGUUGAGUUUGAUGAGUGUCCUUUCAACCAGUAUUUAUUGCUCACUUGCGAUGCGACAGGCUCUGUGUACCCAAGAUCAUCUCUGAUCUCUUUGUAAACCUGAAAAGUUUAUAAUCAGGUCUAUCAUAAUAAUAAGUAAUACUUAACAAAUACCUGCAUGUACUAGAUAUUAUAUAAAUGCUUUACUGGAUUAUCUUUUUUAAAUCCUCACAACAACCUUGCGAGGUAGGAAUAAUUAUUAUCAUCCCCAUUUUUCAGAUCAGUAAACUGGGGGCACAUACAAAUCAUUCAUCUAAAAUCACUUGGAUAUAGGGUUGUCAUAUGAAAUACAGAAUGCUCAAUUAAACUUGAAUUGCAGAUAGACUACUACUAUUUUUUAGUUUAAAUAUGUAUCAAAUAUUGCAAAAUCUGAUGACCGCACCUGGAAAAUGAAUGACAGAGGUGGGAUUUUAAACCAUGUAAUAUGGUUAUAGGGCCCAAGGUCUUAACUGUUGCAUUAUAAUGAAUAUAGAGAAUAAGAAUCACAUCCACCUGAACAUUCAGUAUUUAGAUGGCAGCUACUACCUAUAUAUAAUUAAUUUUUUUACUCAAGUUAUUUUUCCCCCAACUGAUCAUAUUUACUUCGUUGUAGACAUAUGUGUAUUCUUUCUGAUUUCAAGUGUACUAUUCAAGUUCAGGUAAAUUUACAUGUGCUUUUUAUGUCUUUUUAAGUCAGUACUAAUUAUAUAUUAUAACAUAAAAUGGGACUUUUUUUGAACCUGGUUACUUUAGCCAUUCUCAUCCACGUAAGAUAAUUGUCUUUUUACCUUCUUUUCUACAAAUAUAGGAAGAUUUAACUGCAUGUAUGUGCCAAAAAGGCACACUCUCUUUUGAUAAGGUUAGGAAAUGAUAUUUGAAUAAGGUAUUUAACAGUUCUUUGAAACAUGUCCCAUGUGUUCUCAAAAAAUUGAGAAGUUAUAAAAUACAAAUGUGGAAUUGAAAGAGGCUUUUACUAAGAAUUGCCAGGGAAGACAUCUGGGUCUGCUAAGUAAUCAUACAGGGAAGUAAGGAGUCAUUUUUCCUGGUGAAUUACCACAGUUUGGGAUCAGGCUUUUAGUUCUGCAUAUCUAGAAAUGUAUUUACAAAAACUAAAGACCUGAGAGAGCUUGUGAAUGACACACGUGUUAAAUAUGAUACUUCUGAUUUCCAGUUCUGGCAAAAUUGCGGAGCACAUAUCUUAAAAAGAAGACACUCUUAAAAUUCAUGAGUCAAGUGUUUAACUCAAGACAUAGAGCGAAGGUGUAUAGAAAUUGAAGAAAAGUAUAUUUCAUAGUGAAAUCUGCUUAUAUUUAAGGGAUAUUUACAGGAAAUGUUUUUCUCUCUCUAGGAGGAAUUGAAUGAUAUCUAGGUAGCAAGUCAGAUUUUUGGAGAAAGUUCAGAAAGGAAAGUGAGCAAGAGGCCGGGCUCGGUGGCUCACACCUGUAAUCCCAGCACUUUGGGAAGCUGAGGAGGGUGGAUCACAAGGUCAGGAGUUCGAGACCGGCCUGGCCAACAUAGUGAAACCCCAUCUCUACUAAAAAUACAAAAAAAUUAGCCAGGCAUGGUGGCGGGCACCUGUUAUCCCAGCUCCUCGGGAGGCUGAGGCAGGAGAAUCGCUUGAACCUGGGAGGCGGAGGUUACAGUGAGCCAAGAUCACACCACUGCACUCCAGCCCAGGCAACAAACAGUGCAAGACUCUGUCUCAAAAAAAAAAAAAAAAAGUGA